rnacentral:rRNA from 1 species
UUUUUUUUUAGGGGGGAGAGUGUGCACAAGGUCUCUGUAGGUGCACCUGGGGGGGUCUCUUUCCCACACCUAAAAAACUUUACACGUGCACCGUUUCCACCCCAUAGUGGGGUGUUUUUUGGGGGGGGCGGGCGGGGGUUUAAUUGUGGGCGGGUGGUUGUGAGUGACCCCUCACAAAAAAAAGGCGAACGUUUGGGCUUCGGCCUGAUUUAGUAGUCUUUUUUUCUUUUAAACCCAUUCCUUAAUACUGAAUAUACUGUGGGGACGAAAGUCUCUGCUUUUAACUAGAUAGCAACUUUCAGCAGUGGAUGUCUAGGCUCGCACAUCGAUGAAGAACGCUGCGAACUGCGAUACGUAAUGCGAAUUGCAGGAUUCAGUGAGUCAUCGAAAUUUUGAACGCAUAUUGCACUUCCGGGUUAGUCCUGGAAGUAUGCCUGUAUCAGUGUCCGUACAUUAAACUUGACUUUCUUCCUUCCGUGUAGUCGGUGGAGGAGAUGUCAGAUGUGAAGUGUCUUGCGAUUGGUCUUCGGACCGGCUGCGAGUCCUUUUAAAUGUACUAAACUGAACUUCUCUUUGCUCGAAAAGUGGUGGCGUUGCUGGUUGUGAAGGCUGCUAUUGUGGCAAAUUGGCGACUGGUUUGUCUGCUGCGGCGUUAAUGGAAGAGUGUUCGAUUCGUGGUAUGGUUGGCUUCGGCUGAACAAUGCACUUAUUGGACGUUUUUCCUGCUGUGGCGUGAUGGACUGGUGAACCAUAGCUCGGUGGCUUGGCUUUUGAAUUGGCUUUGCUGUUGCGAAGUAGGGUGGCAGCUUCGGUUGUCGAGGGUCGAUCCAUUUGGGAACUUAAUGUGUACUUCGGUAUGCAUCUCAAUGGACCUGAUAUCAGGCAAGAUGGCUGGUAACC